UACAGAGGUCCCGAGCGUUGUUCGGAUUCACUGGGCGUAAAGGGUGCGUAGGUGGUGGGGAAAGUCGGAUGUGAAAUCUCCAAGCUCAACUUGGAAAUGGCAUUGGAAACUGUCCUGCUAGAGGGUUGGAGGGGGGACUGGAAUGCUUGGUGUAGCAGUGAAAUGCGUAGAUAUCAAGCGGAACACCAGUGGCGAAGGCGAGUCCCUGGACAACACCUGACACUGAGGCACGAAAGCCGGGGGAGCAAACAGG
rnacentral:rRNA from 1 species